GGCGCCCGGCGUGCGGGUCCCGGUCCCCUCCGGGCCGGGGCCCGGCUGCCCGCCGUCGCCCUCCUCCUGCCGGGUUCGCGGUUCGGCCCCCGCCUCUCCUCCCGUUCACUCCUCUCUCGGCAGCUCUCCAGCCGUCCCUUCCCGUCCCGUGAGCCUCGCUCUCCCCUCCCCUCUACCGCCCCUCCCGCUCCGUCUCCUCCGCUUUCCUGCCCUGCGCUCCCGGCCUUUCCUUUGUCUUUUCUCGCCGCGGCCCGCCUCCCCACCGCGGCCCGGCCCGGGACGCUCCCCCGGAGUCCGGGUCGGGAUCGGCAGGUGCCGGGGGCGGCCCGUCCCCCCUCCGCUCCACCGCGUCCCCGCGGGCUCGGCGCGGGAGGGGCGUGGGGUCCCGGGCGUCCACCCCCAGCCCACUCGGGUGCAGCCGGGGGCCGCGCGGGGUGUCAGCCGCCGGGGGGAUUAAGAUGACUGAUGCGAGGGAAGAGGGCAGCGUGUUUUGUGUCUAAAGAGAGCGGGAUUAGUGCAGAGAAAGUCCUGACCCGGGGUCAGCUGCAAGUCAAACCCUUUUACAAUCAGCGAGCGGAACAGGCCGUCUCCCGGCUCGGCCGCAACAAGUUGGGGGCGGGGAGACGGGAGGCCCGCGCCGAGGCGACUGCAACCGCAGGGCGGACUGCGGGUCGGGCCGAAUCCUUCUCCGUCACCAGAGCGCCCGGCUCCACUUCCUGGGCCGCCUCCGGCGGCUCCCUCGCACGCGAGCCCGGGCGGAGAAGGCCGGAGAGGCCCGUCCUGCCGAGGCAGUUGUGUGUGCGUGAGAAACCAAACCUGAAAGACCAGGUCCUUGGGCGCCCUGCCUUUCCGAUUUCACCUAGGCUCUGCAGGAAUCGCUGCCUGGCUUGGGCUCCUGCAAACCUCGUGGGGGGGGGACGGGGGGGCAGUACUGGGAGGUGGGCGAUGGAAUACAUUCAGGCUGUUUGUCGUCAGACCCCAUUCUCCAGCAGGGCGGAGGAAUGAGGCGCUAAUCUGGGUGAUAAACCCGCGUAGCUCAUCAGGGAGCGAAAUCCCCAUGGCUCAUCUGGCAAGUCAGGAAAACUGGAGUUUGCGGUGAAGGAUCGGGUCGGGGGUCGGGGGAGAAGGAAGGAGGAGGAUAAAUUUGUCUUCCUCACCAGUCAAGCUGGGAAUUUGCGCUGCAGUAACAGCACGAGGAGCUUUAACAAAUACGAAAAGUGGAUAAAGCACCCAAACGAGUGGUGUAUCCAAAGAUAGAAAAAGAUCAUCUAUUUUGAUAGUGAAAACAAAACAGAAUUGCCAUAUUUUCCUCUAAAUUGGCUUUUCAUCUUUAAAUGUGAAAACACCAACACCAGAGAGAGAGGGAGAGAAGGCAGUGUUUAAAACACCACGAACAGAUACCUCCAAGUGCGCUGCUGUGUUUGCACAGCCACCCUGGGUGACACUGGACUCUCCUGGUGAAUGGGUUCCGGGUUCAAAGCACGUAACCGAUUGCUACUCCUGAACUGCUAAAUGUAACCUAUGGGGAAAUUUUGUCUGCGGCAGAAAGGCCGGACAUCGUGAGUGAGUCUGAACGCCCCGCAGGUCCCUCGCGAGGACUUCAUUGCCCACAGCCACUUCAGAACGACCGCGUGGGGACAUUAAAGAUGCAGUUUGUGAAGAACAGCAGGGCAUCACAUGCAAAGCCUCGAAAUAGUCAGCCAGUCAAAUCAGUGGAAAAAAUCAGCUUUUGUUAGAUUUUGCAGUUUCAGGAAUUAGGCAUUCACUGCAGAGCUGCAGUUUUGAGAAAUUGCAGUGUCAGGCGUGUUCCCAAUGGGGAAAUAUUGUGAGAGUGUGGAGGAAUGUAAGAUUGGGUUUGACAAUGGGGGGACUGACAAGAGUUAUCACCCAGACAUUGUUCUCUCUCUGCGCACCCCGGAAACGCUAAGUAGAGACGGUAUCUAGUGGGAGCAAUAGUCCUCCACGCUCACAGACGUGGGGAUGAGAGUCUUAGCCUCGAAAAGACUGGCCUCGGGUUUCACAGGAGGAAAACUGGAACGCGUAGGGCACAGAACCUCAUAGGUACAGAACACCUAUAAACAGUAUAGUAGCAGGGUAGGGUCGGCCUGAAGACAUUCCAAGCAGAAGCCAACUUCUCCUUUUUCUUUCUAAGCAACAGAACAGGAGGAAAUCCAGGGAGAAACGACACCUGUGCUCAAAGAAAAGGAAGAAUCAUGGUGAGUUGAGAACGACCAAGGAAAGUUCUGGACAGCAAUAAGGAAAGGAAGCCGGCAGUGCAGGAAGGCAGGUUGCCUGUGACCAGCCGUGGGCUGAGCCACGGAGGAAGGACUUCAGGCUUCGAUGCCGUUCUCACCCAGCUCAGGGGAGAUACGCGAGGGGCGUUUCAAGUUCACUAUAAAAAUACUCCUACACAGCCUCUCGCCCGCGGAAGCCAGGGCUCUGUUAUAAACAUACGAUUGCAGUUGAACUGGAUGUGAUUGAAAUGUUUCGGUUGGAUGUAUUCAUGACAGUGACUAGAACAUGGGAACAAGUGGAGAACAUAAUCCAGCCCAAGAAAUACAUGGAGCAUUAAGAAAAUGAUUAGGAACGAGGGGUUACCCGGAAGCUGGAGGUGGACCCAAAGCAGAGGGGGUCAGAGAGGGGUCACAUUGGAAAGACCGAAGCAUGAAAAAGACAAGAGUUUGCAAGGAGCCCUCCAACCCCUGCCUCAGAGAAGUGCUGUGUACUGUGCGCGGUGCCAGGAUCAGAGAUGGGGCGCAACUGUUAGAUCACAUCCUUUACUCGGGCCGGAUUCUUUUAAGCAAGGAAUCCUUUUUAACCUUCCUGUGAACUACGUAGUCCCUAUUGUAGCACAUCUCCCGGGGCUGCCGUACAAAGUGCCUCAGACCCCGUGGCUUCAAACAACAGAAAUGUAUCGCCUCGUGGUCUGGAGGCCGGAAGUCAGACAUCAAGGUGCCUGCAAGCUGGUUCCCUGUGAGGCCGCGAGGGAGGGUCUGUCCCAGGAAAGCAGAGCUAGAUUUCGCUCCUCAAACCUCUUUCUUGUUCCAACAUCAAGUGACACUUGAUCGUACUGAACACUGAGUUUUGAGCACAGUCAAAUGGAUGCAUGUAAGGAGAGUUAAGAGAUACCUCAAUAUAUACUACCCGCAGAUAGGAAUCCAGCUCAGAGACGUUGGUAAAGGGGCUGCAACGCCCCCGAGAAGGUGGUCCGGGAGUGCGACUCCAGAAGACGAGCACGCAAAGCCAUCCUUCUGCUGCCUUAUCGGGAGGCUCGGUGGCAGCAAGGGGACUAUUUCUCGUCCAGAGCCGCAGUCAGGCCCUCAGAUGCACCCACAAAAUCAAGGUGCUGCGGCGGGAGAGAACCCUACAGGCCUGCGGUGAUGAUUCCCGGAAGGAACGGAAAUCCAGAUCAAAUCUUCAAAACGUUUGCGCUUGCAGACAAGAAAGGCUAAGUCCUUGUGCGAAGAAUUCAUCAGCUAAAGAGACUCGCAGCAGUUGUGAAGAGUGUUUACUGUGAUGUGCCUGUACUUCGCUUUCUCCAAGUGUUGUCUGUUAGGGCCUCAGGCAGGACGGGGAGAAAGAAAGGAUCCCACAUUUCAGAAGACCCGCUUCCAGGCUUGGAGUCCAGAGUCAAAACUGGACAACGUUCGUACAAGGAAUGUGUCCGAGUGUUUCCCGUGUGCCAGGCCCUGUUCUAACACGGAGCCCCCGAGUAACAACACAAAGAAAGAGGCCCGCCCCGACCAGCUGACAGUUAUGAUGCUGGGAAGUCCGACGCUGAGGAGGACGGGUUUGCCUUCUGCAACCCGGCCCAUCUAUUGGCUGACAAGGAUUUCCUUUUUUGGAGGGAGCCAGACUGGAACCUCGUUCCCUCACUUGAGAGGGAGAGAGGGACCAAGGCCUGCGAGCAGGCUCGGGGAGGCCCUAGUCUGAGGAGCUACACUCCCUGUAGGACCAGUGGCUCGGAGUACGCCUGUCAUGCUAGAACGGCAGCCUCGAACACAGCAGCUCCAGGCUGCCUGCGCCUCGCGUCCUAGUAUCUGUCCAGAAACGAGCAAAUACAUCUUCCCCACACUGAUGUCGGGGCAGUUCUGCUUUGCUUUCCCUGAAUCGUCCUCCCUUCCAAAGCCACUGCAAUCCACCCAAGGGGGCCGGGGGUCCUGAUGAAUGGGGCAAGCGGGCCUAGAGAAGAAACAGGACCGCAUUGUUUUCCUUUCCCGAGACGGGGGCUCUUCGGCGUGGCUCCAUCUAAGUCCCCGCUCUAGGACGGUUCAAAGCCGAGAGGCAGCAAACGGCCAGGCCGAGGCUCAGGCGCACUUGGGACUUGGGUACCGGAGCUGGGGAAGCUCCAGCCCAAAGUGUGAAAUCAGAUGAGGUGUUAUUAGUAACUCCCUGGGUCAUAUUUCCUGAAGCUAAACUGGGGGGACGGGGCGGUGAGAGGGAGCCGUUUGCCAUUAAUCUGGGAACAAACGGUCAAGCUCGGUGACUGGGCUUUUCGCUUUUCUUUUCUCACUCUUCUCAGUGCGGGGAAGCGGCGCGCCCGCGCGGAGCGAUUGUGAGGCUCUGCUGGAAUUUGGCAGCCCGUGGGCUUGGAGAGCAGCCCCAUGCUGGCCGCUAUUCAGCGCCCCGCUCUCCUCGAGCUUUGCAAGUUUCACUCAGCCGUGCACUCAAUGGCUUCACAAAGCUGAUUACAAGCUUCAGCGCAUUCCUGAAGGAGCCAAAAGCGACGCAGGUGCAAACGAGCCGAGGGAGCCCCUUAUCCCGGUGACAGAAUGGGACAAGCUGGGAAAGGCUUGGACCACACAAAUCCAAGCGCACCAGGCGGCAGAAAGCCUGCCUUGGGAACCGGGGGUCAUUAUCCGCCCUAUUCAGCGGGGCCCGGGGACCCUGGGGGCCCGGAAGGCCAGCUCGCGAGGGAGAGCCGGCGGCCGUGGGGACCCCGACGGGCCUGCGGCUGGGUUGGGACGCUGGCCGCCCGCGACUUGUGCAUUUGCACCGAUGGCGCCAGUGAAAUCCGUGCUCGGACAGGCCCGGGUCAACACCAGUAGGGACAGAGGACGCAGCCCGGUGUGUGGACUGCGCGCAACCUUUGUUCAACCAGCGUCCAGACCGCACCGCCCUGUCCCUGUCCCAGCCUGGCGCUCCGGGGCCCGGCCACUCCCCCAGGCUACCGACCGUCAGCUCCGAGGGUCACUCUGCGCCCUUUCUCCCCCAGCCCGCCUUCCCCAUCUGUCCUCGUGGCAGCCGGGUCCUGCGUAGGGCGACCCCGACGCCGUAAGGUGGCAGGGACAGUGUCCGCGCGGGGAGUCAGGAUGGCGGGUCACCGGGCCGCCCCGUCGGAGCGCGCUCCCCGUGGCCUAGGAUGCCUGCACCGCGAGUCGGACUCCACGGCGGGGAGGAGGGCCGGCCCCCCUCGGGGGAUGAAUGACGUCCCCGGCUGCGCUGGAGGACAGAAAACCAGGGCUGCGGGCGGCGGAGAGAGAAGGGCAGCGCCGCGGGGAACGCGCGUGAG